UUAAUCUUGGGCUGUUUCAGUGCUUAAUUAACUGCCCUAAUGAGUGGUGCAAGCUACCUGCCUGGCUGCUUCCAGCCUGUGGGACAGGCAGGGAUGUCCCUGAGCCCCUUGGGCUGGUGACACAGGAGCAGCCCCUGUGUGCAGCCUGAUCACGGAAUAUCCACGAGGAUUGUCAAAUCCACAGCUGAUGCCUGCCCUGGGUGAUCUGGAGCAUGUCCAGCAUCGCAGGCUGGAAAAUGGCUCUCUGUGCAUCAAGGGCUGGAAUCUUUUCCUCUCUUGAAGGGCAAAAAUCAAUUUGCAGUAACAGCAGACACGUCUGCUCCCUUCUCCAGGCCUAGGAAAUCUCAGUGCCUGGUUUGGAAAUUGGUCACCAAAUAGUGAUUUCUGUACUCCAGUGAUUUUGUUCUGUGCAGCCUGGCUCAGACUGGAAAUACAGGGAAGAAAAGAAGGAAGGAUGGAGGCUGGUGGCUGCAAACUCUGUCUGCAAACUGCAACGUGAAUUACAAGGAAUUUCUGGAGGCACAGCAAAGGUGUCUGGUCCUGCCUGGGACAGGGACACACACACAAAGUGACCCCUGAUGUGUCCAGUCCUGUCCUGGACACAGGACACACACAGUGACACCCUUGCCGUGUUUCCUUCCCAUUUCCUGCUCACUCCUAUUCCCUCCCAUCCAUCUCCUCCUCUCCAAUUUAUUUAUUCACGUGCAUCUCUUCCCCUCCAAUGUUUCUAAACACUUUUCUACAUGAGAUUGUAAUUAUUGUAUGAAACACUGAACAUUUUUAUUUUGAGGCCUUUCAAAGCCGCGUAGCCUCUCAAUGAGACACGUCUUUGGCUUUGCCAGUUUUAACACGAAGUUUUUACCGCUGAAAUCAUUCUCACCUUUGUCAAACCUCAGGAUGUGCUUUUAAAGAUUUCAGUCUUUGGGAAAAGAGGUUGAUGGAAGACUUUUAUUUUUAAAGAAAACUUUAUUGC